GGAUAACACAGGCCACUAUUGGAUGUGGUUUUAAACAGUUAGUCUUCAUAAGAGUCAAAUGCUUUUAUGUUUAAGGAUAAGCUGUGAAUGUACCAAGUUUACUUGGAAAUUGUGUGAUUUCACGCUGCUGAAAAAAGUUUCGUAGGAAGAAAAUAUUGCCCGUACCGCAAACCGACACAGGUACUCGAGUGGAGAACACUAAGGUGAGCGAGUGAACUAUUGUUAAGGAACUCUGCAAAAUGAGUCCGUAACUUCGGAAGAAGGACUGCUGGUUUUAUACCAGCCGCAGCAAAUAGGCCCAAACAACUGUUUAUCAAAAACACAGGUUUCUGCAAAAUCGUAAGAUGAAGUAUAGGGGCUGACGCCUGCCCAGUGCUGGAAGGUUAAAAGGAGGACUUAGCUUCGGCGAAGGUCUUAAUUGAAGCCCCAGUGAACGGCGGCCGUAACUAUAACGGUCCUAAGGUAGCGAAAUUCCUUGUCGGGUAAGUUCCGACCCGCAUGAAAGGCGUAAUGAUUUGGGCGCUGUCUCAACAAUAGACUCGGUGAAAUUUAAAUUCCAGUGAAGAUGCUGGGUACCCGCGACAGGACGGAAAGACCCCGUGGAGCUUUACUGUAGUUUGAUAUUGAAUGUUUGUGCUGCAUGUGCAGGAUAGGUAGGAGACUUUGAAGUCGGAACGCUAGUUUCGAUUGAGUCACCCUUGAGAUACUACCUCUGUUGUAUGAACGUUCUAACUCUGAUCAGUUAUCCUGAUCGAAGACAGUGUCUGGCAGGCAGUUUGACUGGGGCGGUCGCCUCCUAAAAGAUAACGGAGGCGCUCAAAGGUUUGCUCAGAAUGGUUGGAAAUCAUUCGUAGCGUGUAAAGGCAUAAGCAAGCUUGACUGUGAGACUGACAAGUCGAGCAGGUACGAAAGUAGGACUUAGUGAUCCGGUGGUUCCGUAUGGAAGGGCCAUCGCUCAACGGACAAAAGCUACCCCGGGGAUAACAGGCUCAUCUCCCCCAAGAGUCCACAUCGACGGGGAGGUUUGGCACCUCGAUGUCGGCUCAUCGCAUCCUGGGGCUGUAGUCGGUCCCAAGGGUUGGGCUGUUCGCCCAUUAAAGCGGUACGCGAGCUGGGUUCAGAACGUCGUGAGACAGUUCGGUCCCUAUCCGUCGUGGGCGCAGGAAAUUUGAGAGGAUCUGUCCUUAGUACGAGAGGACCGGGAUGGACAUACCUCUGGUGUACCAGUUGUUCUGCCAAGAGCACCGCUGGGUAGCUACGUAUGGAUUAGAUAAUCGCUGAAAGCAUCUAAGUGAGAAACUAACCUCGAGAUGAGAUUUCCCAUUCGUCAGAAGUAAGACCCCUGAGAGACGAUCAGGUAGAUAGGCUAGAAGUGGAAGUGUAGUGAUGCAUGGAGCGGACUAGUACUAAUAGGUCGAGGACUUAACCAAG
rnacentral:rRNA from 1 species